CAAACAUAACGGUACUUUUCCUGUUAAAGAAGAUAGUCAUUACAAAAAACUUCUUGGCUAGUUAGAAAUGUGUACUGAGAGAUAAUUUAUGGGAAAAUCGAUAUACUGCUAGCACGUGAAAAGAGCUGGCAAAAAUUACACCUCAUUCAUACAGGGCAAUUUAUAUGUAUUACGCUUCAACAAGUUGGGGACGAGUUGAGAAUCAUAAAUUGGAAAAAAAUUAUUGAAAAUAAAAUAUUAUGGUAAACUCAUGGACAAAGAAAUAUUUGAAUAGUUAUUAUAAGUUUUCGCCAAAACCCAGCGGAAUUUGCUGCAACAAGUAAAGCAAGUUCUAUCUUCAAAAGCAGCAACAACAACUUACAAUAUUAUGUUACUGCUAUUCGAGAAUUUCGACAAAAAUAAGGAAACUAAAUAUAUAGUCAAGUGUGUGGAAAUGAAAAGAAUAUUUGCAAAUAAAACAUUAUGAGAUCUGCUCAUAAAAUCUGUCUACUCAUUAUUAGUGUCAUAGAUUGUUCGUAAAAACCCAGCAGAGCUCAAUAUGAAGAGUUGGUAGCAAAACUAAAAAAGCAUGUGUAUUCUAAGAAAGACAUUUUUCUAGCUCAAUUCAUUAGAAGAACCCAAGAUAACACAAUCCGCGAACAGCUCAUUCUGGCAGAAUAUUUAAGAAAAUUGUUUGGGAAAAACACUAUCUUUAGAAGCAUUCAACAUAUGUACAUAGAUAGCCGUGAACUCAAUGCAAAAUUACAAAGUACUAUAAAUGAUGUCAACAAAGUACUCGCAGGUAUAAAUCGUAGUAGAAGGCCGCGGAUACAUUCAAUAAUAAUCAAAAUUAAACUUGAGGCAAAUAGGUAUCGGAAACUUAUGCAUACGAAGCGGAAGAGAGAAUCACAAAACAAAGGAAUGUCACGUAAAGCGGCAUAACCUCAUAUAAAAUUCGCGCCACGCUGCUGCGUAUGUUUGGAACCAAUAAUGCCAGAAACCGGUGAAGAAGAAACUGUACGUGUCGUAGCGUUAGAUCGCAGUUUUCACUUCGGAUGUUAUAAAUGUGAAGACUGUGGUUUGAUGUUAUCGUCAGAAGCCGAGGGUCGUGGAUGCUAUCCUCUGAACGGACAUGUACUCUGUAAAAGUUGUAAUGCAAAACGUGUGCAAAUGCUAACAAGUCGCAUGGCAACAGAGUUAUAAACAAACUUAUUACUGUGACAUAUUAUGAAUAUUAUGUAUAAUUUCUACACUCGUAUGUAAAAUUAAAAUAAAUAAAAGUUCGUUUGGUUUGCUGACUUUUUAAAACCA